CCUACGGGUGGCAGCAGUGGGGAAUAUUGCGCAAUGGUGGAAACUCUGAUCCAGCAACGCCGCGUGAAUGAUGAAGGUCUUCGGAUUGUAAAGUUCUUUUCGAAGGGAAGAAAAAAGUGACGGUACCUUAGGAAUAAGCCUCGGCUAACUACGUGCCAGCAGCCGCGGUAAUACGUAGGAGGCGAGCGUUAUCCGGAAUGACUGGGCGUAAAGGGUGCGUAGGUGGUUUGGCAAGUUAGUAGCGAAACUCUAAGGCUCAACCUGGGAACUACUACUAACACUGUUGGACUUGAGUGCAGGAGGGGCAAGCGGAAUUCCUAGUGUAGCGGUGGAAUGCGUAGAUAUUAGGAGGAACACCAGUGGCGAAGGCGGGUUGCUGGACUGAAACUGACGCUGAGGCACGAAAGCGUGGGGAGCAAACAGGAUUAGAUACCCGUGUAGUC
rnacentral:rRNA from 1 species